AGGGACCCAAAGUUUUAAGAGCUAAUGGAAUGCCUUUAACAUCAUAUACCACCUUUCUUGACAACUCAGAAAACUCUACUUUUGGAGACUUAUUUUCGAAAGCAAGCGACUGAAAGAGCUGAAGAGCUUGUUGGGGUAAUUUCAAAGGUCAAGAGUUAAGGAAAUAAAAAGUUAGAAUCUGAAAGGUUUAGCUAUUAUGUCUAGUUUAUGAGUUGAAGUAAAAGUGAGGUUUAGUGGGUAUAGUGGUUAUGGUUAUGUUUAAUGUUGAGUUAAUAUUAUGGCCUAUAAAUAGGCGGCGUAUCCACUGUAUGUAAUGUGUGUAUCAAGUGUGUGUCAAGUGUGUAUCAAGAGUAUCAAUCUUAUUGAAAUUUGUUUCAAGUAAGUUUGUGUAGGAGCUCUGUGUAGCCUUCGGGCUUCAUAUCUCCAAAAAAAAAUUUUUAUAUAUAUUGUAUUUCUCCCUUCACAUUUAGAGUGUAUGAGCAUAAGGCUAAAUCCACCAAUAAGUGGUAUCAGAGCUGAUACGGUCAUGAGGACCUGCAUGAGGGAUGUGGGGUUUGGAGUAUGAUCCAAUUUUUAAAUGAUUUUUUUCAUGUAGCAUGAAGCGUUGGUUGUGGUUCUAUAUUUAAAUUGUUUUAGCAUGAUGAAAAAGUUUUUGGUUGUUAGUAAAAAGUUUUAUUGUGGGCUUAAGAUGUGUAGAAGAAAAAAAAAAAAAAUUGUGUUGGCUAUAAGUGAGAGGCAUAUUAAUGCCAAUGAAAAAGGCACAUGGAUGCCGAAGAAAGAGAGAAAGGCACAAGGAUGCCGAAAGAAGAGAGAAAGGCACAUGGAUGCCGAAGGAAGAGAGAAGGGCACAUAGAUGCCGAAGAAAAAAAAAAAGGAACAAUAUUUCCUUUGAAGAUUGGGGCAAAUGUGCAUCCAAAAGAAAAAAGAAAGAAAAUGGAGUGUUUUUUAUAUUCAUGAAGGAAAGUAUUUGAUUAUUAAUUGCGUCCUCUCUUGCAGCCAGAAAAAGAAAAAGAUGAGUAUAUCAGUCGUUGUGCCAUUCAAGUCAACUUUGAUUGAAGCUGCACGCAACCUUAAUGUUGAACCACAUUUUAAUUUUGCAACCAAGGGACCAGCUCAUGCAAUGCAAUUCAUGUGUCACAUUAGUUUUGAUGGCGGCGCACAUCCAAAAUUUUCAAGCAGAUAGAAAAACACGAAGAAGGAGGUAGAACACCUGGCGGCAUAUUUUUGUUUAAAUUAUUGGAUUGAAUAUGACAUCAUUAAAGUGCUCGAUGUCAACUUUAAUGCGUUGAUGAAUUUCAAGAUCGAAUGUGGAAAGCUGCAGGAAGAUAUUGAGACGCUACAAGAUCAAGUGAUGGAUCUAGAGCUAGAAAUUGGAAUGCUAACACAAGAUGAAAAUCCAGAAGAAAAUGGUAUUGGCCAGUCUCAAAGCAUCGUUAACAUAAGCGACAGGGAAUGAGAGUAAGGGGGGGAAAUCUAUGUUAAUAAGCUUUGAAAUUACGGGAGAGAUUGUUGGGGUAAUUUCAAAGGUCAAGAGUUAAGGAAAUAAAAAGUUAGAAUCUAAAGAGUUUAGCUAUUAUGUCUAGUUUAUCAGUUGAAGUAAAAGUGAGGUUUAGUGGGUAUAGUGGUUAUGGUUAUGUCUAAUGUUGAGUUAAUGUUAUGGCCUAUAAAUAGGCAGCGUAUCCA
rnacentral:lncRNA from 1 species